rnacentral:lncRNA from 1 species
GCUACUUAUGAAGACAAUAACACCAUAUGUUAUUUCUCAUGCAUAGGAAUGAGAGGGAAAAUUAAAAUUGAGAAUAGGAAUUAGCGGGAAAAAAUAGAGGGAAAAUUAUUAUUAUUAUUUAUUUUCAGUUUUUAAUCAUUUUUAAAUUGAAAUGACUUAACUAUCCUCACAUGUUAUACACAUGGUCUCACUUAACGGAAAUAUGGAUGGAAUAUAUGAAAAACUAACGGUAGGGGGCAAAUUGGCUAAAAAAAUUAGUUUAAGUCCUUAAUUUUCCAAUAGAAAAGUUCAGGGGAGAAAUCGAAAGUGAGGUGAAAGUUCAGGGGGUAAACCGACAGUUUACCCUUAAUAGUUUUUUAAUUAAUGUAGAUGUGUAAAAAAAUAUAGAAAAAUGUAGAAACGCUUGUAAUGACAAGCUUUACAACUUUCAUGAAGAGCUUAACUUUGAAAUUCGCCACUAUAAUCAUAUAAAUCAUAGAUCAAAAUUUAACCGUUGAUUGUUGUUUACAUUUACGCUUCAUUGUUUUCAUCAAAUUUUGUUUUUUUUUUUCAGAUUUUUUUUUUUUUGAAAACCUGAUAUAUUAGAUGAUGCAGGAAGAUAAACGGUUUGGAUCUUUAAUAUUAUAUUCAGAGUUUUAAGGUUAGUGAAAAUAUUGCUUGAUGUCUAUAAAGUUUCUACAAACUAUAUGACAUCGACUCAUAUUUCAAUUAAACGUAAAUAUCGAAACAUGACAUCAAAGAUUUGAACUGUUCAUCUUCUUACAUCCACCAGAUGAUCAUGUUUUCAAAAAAGAAAAUUUAAAAAAUGAAAUUCAAUAAGAAGAAUAAAGCAUAAAUGGCAAUCGACGGUUAAAUAUAAAUUUAAGGUAUAUGAAUUAUAGUGUUGGAUUUCGAAGCCGACUCCUUCAUGAAAGUUGUAAAGUUUGUCACUAUGAGUGAUUGUAUAUUUUUUUUACAUUUUUUACACUUAUACAAUAAUAAUUAUUAAUUUUAUCAAUUUUUCCCUCAAAUAAAAAACAUUAUUCAUGAAGGUUUGGAGGAUUUUAAAAAUCUAAACGAUAAUGU